UAACAGACUCAGAAAGUCCUGCCAGAAAUCUUUGCUCUCCCCUGCUCCACUGCUCUGCUUUGUGUAAAGUAGGCUUGCUAUAUUUUCAGGGAAAUGCCAAUGGAAUUAAGCUUCAUAAAUGCAAAACAAGGUAUAUAAGCAAGCACAAACUUCUAUUCAGGGCUCUCGAGACUGGGAGUAGUCACUUGCUGAGCCGCUGGCACUAAAAGCUGUUUUUUGCUCCUAUCUUCGUGUUGAGAGAGGUCUGUCGAGUUCACAGUUUCCUGCUUCGCUAUAAACAUGUACUAACAAAAACUAAAAAUUUUUUAAAAUGCGAAGUUCAAGCUGAGCAUGGUGGUGCACACCUGUAAUCCCAGCAGUAGGCAGACUGAGACAAGAGGAUCACCACAUUGUCUAUUAAUCUGUUGAUGAACACUUGGGUUGUGCUAUGCUGUGGCAGAUUCCUUGCCCUCCACGAAAGCUCUGCAAUGAGACUACUGCAGGAGCUGUGACCAGAAUAGUGCAGCCCUACAGGCCUCUACACACCCAGACUGGACCCUUGCUGCAAUGCUCAGGAACAAAAUUGAACUUUCUGGAAGAAAACUGAAGAACAAACACCUGGGAUGAAAUGUGCACAUCAUCUGACAGUACUGGGCAUCUGGGGUGUACAUGGCAGUUACAUCUCCACCUCUGAAGAAGAUGAUCUACUUACCACAAGAAACUGUACCAAACAAGCAAAUGAAGUAAGCUGCUCGCCUGAAUGCAAACAUCCUAAAAAAAAAAAAAAAAAAAGAAAGAAAACAAC